rnacentral:rRNA from 1 species
CCUACGGGAGGCAGCAGUGGGGAAUAUUGCACAAUGGGCGCAAGCCUGAUGCAGCGACGCCGCGUGAGGGAUGACGGCCUUCGGGUUGUAAACCUCUUUCAGUAGGGAAGAAGCGAAAGUGACGGUACCUGCAGAAGAAGCGCCGGCUAACUACGUGCCAGCAGCCGCGGUAAUACGUAGGGCGCAAGCGUUAUCCGGAAUUAUUGGGCGUAAAGAGCUCGUAGGCGGUUUGUCGCGUCUGCCGUGAAGUACCGGGGCGUCAACUCCGGAUCUGCGGUGGGUACGGGCAGACUAGAGUGAUGUAGGGGAGACUGGAAUUCCUGGUGUAGCGGUGAAAUGCGCAGAUAUCAGGAGGAACACCGAUGGCGAAGGCAGGUCUCUGGGCAUUAACUGACGCUGAGGAGCGAAAGCAUGGGGAGCGAACAGGAUUAGAUACCCUGGUAGUCCAUGCCGUAAACGUUGGGCACUAGAUGUGGGGGACCAUUCCACGUUUUCCGCGCCGUAGCUAACGCAUUAAGUGCCCGCCGUGGGAGUCGCGCAAGGUCUAAACUCGAAGAAUUGACGGCGNGNGNGNGCGACGACGACGACGAGGAGGAGG